UACAGAGGGUGCAAGCGUUGUUCGGAAUUAUUGGGCGUAAAGGGCGCGUAGGCGGUGCGGUAAGUCUGUAGUGAAAUCUCUGGGCUCAACUCAGAGUCUGCUGCAGAAACUGCCGUGCUUGAGUGUGGGAGAGGUGAGUGGAAUUCCCGGUGUAGCGGUGAAAUGCGUAGAUAUCGAGAGGAACACCUGCGGCGAAGGCGGGUUGCUGGGCUGAUACUGACGCUGAUGCGCGAAAGCCAGGGGAGCGAACGGG
rnacentral:rRNA from 1 species